UACGUAGGGUGCAAGCGUUAUCCGGAAUUAUUGGGCGUAAAGAGCUCGUAGGCGGUUUGUCGCGUCUGCUGUGAAAACUGGAGGCUCAACCUCCAGCCUGCAGUGGGUACGGGCAAACUAGAGUGCGGUAGGGGAGAUUGGAAUUCCUGGUGUAGCGGUGGAAUGCGCAGAUAUCAGGAGGAACACCGAUGGCGAAGGCAGGAUCUCUGG
rnacentral:rRNA from 1 species